AAAAAAACCAACAAAACAAACCCAAAAAACUCCAUGGAAAUCUGACAGAGAAAAGCCUGGCACAAGCCUUGGACAAACCCAGUUUCUCAACAACCAGGUUUUAAUUUUCAGGUGGAAAGUGGUUUUUUUCUCAGAAUUCAGGGUGAUUUUAAUGAUGUGACACAGAGCAUUUUAUCAGCUAAACUGAACCCUGGUGCGACUCAAUCCCCUCUCAAAGGAACAACUGAAACCCAGCUUUGCUUCCCCACUAAAAACAUAAAAGUGAGCAGGUUUCUUCAGAAGCCCCCAAGGUGUUAAAACUCAAAAAAAUACAAUUUUUUAAAAACAAGAUUCCUUAUCCCCAUCCCUAAUUCUAGAACAAACCAGGACACUAAAAAAAAAAUAAAAAUAAUAAUCUAAGUUGCUAUAAAUAUAAUUUAAAAUCAUAAUUAGCUGUCUGCUGCCAUCCCAGCUGGUAGGGGAUACCACAGGGAUUCCACAUGGCUCGAGGGCAGGCUGGGAAAUACCUUCAGCACCUCCUGGAUAGUACCAGAAAGGGAUAAAUAAUAAAUAAGAACAUGAGAAAGAAUAAUCAGCCUUCCACAGGGAUGGAAAAGCAGAGACUUUCUCAGCUGAGAAACCAGAUGAUGUUACUGUAAAAAAAAAGAAUCCUAAAAAUAAAGUAAAAUAAGGACUUGCAUUACAGCAGGUUGCAAAGUCUUCUCCUUCCUGACAUGUUCAUGUGCCCUCUUCAACACCAGACACCACUGGGAGCUGGGUGCUUUUCCAUUUGUUCUGCUCCUAUUUUGGUGUUUGGGGUUUUUUUCCCUAGCCAGAACUAUGUAGAAAUAUCCUUGCUACAGAUUUCCCACCAUCUCAAGAAAAAGCAGACUUCACACCUUAAGGCAGAAAGUCUAGAAAUCCCAUCUAUUGAUCCUGAACAUGGAUCUCUGCCAACAAAACUGUAAUUCCUUAAACUGAAAAUUUUGGACAAUUUUAGAGAGUUGUUUCUUUUUUUUUCUUUUUUCCCUAUUUUACUCCAACACAUUUCCAGCUUACACAAAGCUCCACUUAGCAGCUUCUUCUCAUUGUAUUGCUAUUAAAAAAUGCAGAAUUCCAGCUAUUUUGGAUGCUGUGACUAUUUCCAGCAGCCCCUGGCACGGGGACAGCUCUCACCAAGCACAAACCACUCGAUUCACCAAAAUAAAAACAGAGCCCUGGAAAUUCACUUUACACAUGGAUUUUAAAGGGAAUAUCCAGAGCCAAAUCCUGGCUUGGGGGAUCUUGGAUUUUGAGCCCCACCUUGCCAGCAGCCUCCCAGAAGGCACAGUCCAUGUUUGUAGGUGUUCAUGCAGAACUUGUGGCUAAAUUUGGGCAAAAAUGGAUGGAGAGCUCUGCAGCUGUACCUGGAUCUGGGAAAAUUUGAUCCUGGCCCAACAGCUCUGACAGAGACUGGGAUUUGUCUUUAAACACACCUUUUUUUGGCUUUUACCAGGCACUUAAUCCACAUUUCUUCACCCUGGCUGUGCAAAUCAAGGACACCUGGCCCUUCCUGACUUUUCUCAGUAUCCAUCCUGAACAAUAAAAAAAACCCAUAAAAAUGCUGAAGGCUUUUGGGUGUUCUGGGACACCCUGAGAUGCCUGAAUGUUCUCUCCUAGAGGGAAAAAUCCCAGGAUAUGGCAGAAUCCAACACCUCCACCCCACAACUCCCGGGGAAACUGUGCCUCUGUGAGUUUUUGGAGGCCAUGGAUACUCCAGGCUGCUCUUCCAGCCUCCAGACAUUGGCCCCUCUCACUGGAGCAUUAAUCUCCAUCCACCUCCUGGAAUGGUUUGGUGUGUCAGGUCACAGCCUUCUGGAAAGAUCAUGGUCUGCUCUCUUUAUUUCCUCAAAAACAGUCAUUAUCUAGGGGCAAAACCAGACUGAAUUAAAGCCUGAGUUAUUCCUGGAAGAUAAAACCAAGCAGCAGCUUUCCUGAUCAGUUCAGGAAUACUUGAGGUGUGUUUAGUCUUUAUUCAAAAAUUACACCAUUCCACAUUUCCUGGAUUUAGCUAAGCCCAAAAGCGAAAGUAACAGAUCAAAAUACCCUGAAAUAAAACUUUUAGGGAGGGUUUUCAGGUCUGGCUAAAAGCAGAUAGCUUUGGAAAUCGCUGAUGGAUGUCUGAUCUGUUGAGAUUUCCAUCUCCACUUCCAAGCUUUUCCCGCUUAUCCCCGCAGGACCCCACGAGCUGGACGCUCUCCCUGCCCCUGGAAAUCCAGGAGCCUCUCAGGGAAGGGAUUUUGGGCCAUCCUGGCUGCUGCCUGGGCUGAGCCACCUCAGGGCAGCUCCAGCAUUCCCAAAAAUCCCAGUGGGAUGGCAGCAAGCAAAGGGACAAGUUCGUGCUGGGGCUGGAGAGUUGGAGAAUUCCCAGCUGCGGGAUUUGGGAGCAGGGGAACUGGAGAAUCUUUAAAAACAAAUUUUUAAGAACAGGAUUCCUUAUCCCCAUCCCUAAUUCUAGAGCAAACCAGGACACAGCAGGCAGCUCCUCCCUCUCCCACAGCACUCCCUGGACAGCUGGCUGCCAGUGAAACCCCAGACAUGGCAGCAGGAACGUGAAGGUGCCUGGGCUGUCAGGUGUCCCAAAAGCUCUCCAGCAUCCCAGGGCUGCUCUGAGGAGCCACAUCACAACCAUCCUGCAGCCCCAGCUGCUCCCUCCUCCUGGUGGCCUCCAAAUUGGCUAUUUCCAGCGUGAAGCUGCCCUAAAAGUUUCCCCUCUUCUGUCCCAGCCACAGAGGCCUCUCCCAGGCUUUUCCCAGCAUUUAAAGCCAUGCAGCAGCAGCAGCAGCCUUGGGCCACCUGCAGGUUUUUCCCCAUGGGUUUCUUCUGGGUUUCAGAUUUUGCAGUGGCACCCUGAGACCCAGUGCCCACAAAUCUGGGCCUGAAGGAAGAUGUGGGGAGGGCAAGGGCAGCCAGGCUGCUCUCAGGCUGUGCCCUGGGGCACCUGUGGCUGUGUCCUGCCUCUCUUGCUGCUCCAGACCCUCCCUGGCAAGGUGGACUGCCACCAGCUGCCCAUCAGAGCACUCAUUUUGUCCCUGUGCCAUUAAACCCACCCUUAAAGUUCACUGCACUCUCAGAGUCCUUUCCAUUUACCCAGCAAUGGACCUUUGUGCCUGCAGCACUGGCACCAGCAGCUCCUGGCUGUGUUUAUUCAUCUGCAAACAUCUCAAAACUGAGAUGCAGCUUUUCCUGGCCCUAUUUAUUAACAAAAGCCACUGGUUUUAUGGAGUGGGGUUAUGUGAAGGAGCAGAGUCCUCUCAGCCUUUAACAGCCACAGUGCAGGGGUGAAUCUCCCAGCUCUGCAGAGCACAGGGCAAAUUUCACAUCCUCCAGCUGCUCCAGCUAAGGCUGAGCUGAAAUCUUAAUGAGGAGAUCUGAUCCCUUCUCACCAGAAACAAUCUGGGUUUUACAGCCCAGGCAGAGGCCAGGGGAGCAGGCAAAGCUCUGGGAUCCAUCCUCUGCUGCUGGUUAAGGGCUUUCAAGGAAACAAGGAACCUGGGGGGAGGACAGGGAGUGCAAAACGUGGACAUCUGGUGUGCUCUGUGUGUUCUGCCCACCCUCCACCUCCCCAGGCCCAGCCCAGAGCACAUACAGGAGACUGCUCUAACAUCAACAACCAGAACAUGGCAAUAAAGAUUAAUGAGCAAAACUUGCCAUUUUAUGUCUAAUCCGUGGGGAUUUAGGAUCAUUAAUCUUUAUUAGUGUGUAAUAACUGUUUAGACACUAAGGACAGAUUCUCAGCUGGACAAAACUGGCCUUAUUCCAGCCAAGCCAAUGGAGCAGUGCCAGUUUACACCCUCCAUGACCCCAGCUCUACAUGAGAGCCAGCCCAUCUGUAGGAAUCACAUCACUGACAGUAUUUCCCCAACAGCAGGGGCACAGAAGUGAAGGCAACUAUUUGUCUUUCCCUGUAUCCCAAAAAAGAGAGCUGCAUGUGUCCAGGAAGCUCAACAAUAGACAUGUCAAUAAACACGAGGAAAUUCAAUGGAAGAGCAACAGCAACAAAAGGAACCCCAAGGAGCAGGGAAGUGGAUGGUUUUAGAGGCAAGACUAUAAGAUCUGGUUUGGCAGGAGAGUAACUAAGAGGGAUCUUUGGCAUGUGAAAGAGUGAAAGCACCAAGACAGGCUCCCAGAGUUCCUCUAACAGGAACAAGAUGGAAGGGGAAAAAAAAAAAGCAGGAGCAUCUUGGCUGGCUUUUCUGAGAGAGGAGUUUGGGGUUGUUUUGAAUAAAAAAGAUUUCUUAAACACAGGAGCUGGUGGGAACCUUGCCUGAACUACACCAGAGCAGGCACUGAAGCAAUGCUGAGCUGACCAAGCAGGAUUUCCUCUUCCAGAACGUGCAGGGAAGGAGGGAAUUGUGCAGGGACACACCUGGCUGGCAGCAAGCAUGGAGAAAUCCCAGCUGAGGCUGUGCCUGCAGGGCUCUGCCCUCAGCCCCUGCCCACCAGGACAAGGUGCAGCAGCACCUGCUCAACAGCAGGGAGAUGAAUUGAGAUUUUUUACAGGUUUUUCCAAGUAGGGACCCACCAACAGCUUCCUGCAUCACACACACCUGCCUCCAGAAAUGAAGUUCCACCCCUUUAACAAGUCAGAGUUGCCUCUUUCUCACCAGUAAACUCAACAGAAGUCAGGGAAAACCCCAGAAGUACAGUACAGAGAUAUCUGUGUCAAGGUUUGUACACCUGGAAGAACUCCAGGAAAGAUGGGCAUUGCACCCAGUGCAGCAGCAUGAACCUGCUGUUUAAAAACAGGAACCAGAAAUGCCCUCCAACUCCUCUUUCAGAUUUAAGGGUCCACAGGGCUCUUGGGGACCCAGAAAACAGCUUUCCUGCCAGUGACACUUCAGAGCUCCAGCAAGGGCAAGCCUGCAGCACGCAGGGAUUGCAGGAGCACCAGCAGCUGGGGGGUGGGGGGAAGGGGAUGGACAUCACACCUGGGGACCCCUGGGGAUGGGCUGUGCCUCCUGAUCAGCUGUGGCAGAUUGGAGAGGCUCCCCUGCCCUGCAAACCCACCCACAGCUGCUCCAGCUCCCAGCUCAGUGUGAGCUCCCAGCAGCUCUGCUCUCUCUCUGCUCCCUGGAUUUGGGGUUCUUUCAAGUUUAUGCCAUUUGACAUCUUCUUCUCUAAGAAUGCCAAGCCCUGUGCUGUGUGAACACACAAAACCUUUGUGAAGGACACCCGUAAGCCUCAGGAAAGGCACCCCUAAGGCUGUCAGGAAAGGUUUCAUGUCCCAGAACCUCUGUCUGUCCCUGUGCUCGUGUUCUGGCCAAGCAAAGAUCUGAGCAGCAACCAAAGGCUUCUCAUCUUCUCAGUUCAACAGCAGAGAGAAGAGCCUGACUCCUCCUGCAGCCCAGCAGGGCUCUGAGGCACACGGGAGUCCCUGGCUCUCCUCCCUGAGCUGAAGCCACCAAGCUCAGGCUUCUCUCUAAGAAAUUGCUGGGUCAGGCCAAGCUUUGUGCCCACGAGGGAUGCAGGGACAGCCCCAGAGCUGCCACAGCUCCACCAGCACUGGGCAUCUCCCACAGCACCGUCCAUCCUCCUGCUCAGACAGCUCCACACUUACUCUGGGCUGACACAAACCACUUUAAAAGGAACAAAGUCACGGGGAAGGAGCAGGGAAGGGAAGGGAUUUGCUGCGUGCCCUAUUGUAAUGUCAUUAGGACAAAGGGAUUAGAGCAGAAAGCAUAAAAGCAAGCCCUGUGUGGAGGCACAGAGGAAUCCUUUUAGAGGGUUACUAGCUGCAGACAACACUGCCAUUAAUUCUCUAUUGGAAAACGCUGGUGACAUUAAUAUCUGCUAUUAAUACUGAGCUUUGACAGUAUCUCAUAAAUUCAACCUGUCAAUUACAAUGGCACUGAAAUGAAGGUGCUCUGAGGUCAAGGAGAUGCAGUGUCCAAAUGAGACUUAUAUCGCAGGGGAAAAGCAGCAAAAACAAUCUUUAACAAAAGCAUCAGAUCCAUAUGUAGGAAAACCAAAGGGUGGUUUUAAAUGUCAUGUUUUUCAAAGUGAGAAUUGAUGCUGGAACCGAGUCUAUAAACUGGCUGGCUGGACUUUCAGCUGCAGCUGAGGACAAUCAAUCAAAACAGCUCUGUGACUCUGAGAAAGUGAGAGAGAGAAAACACACACACACACAGCAUGGAAUAUGAGAGGGCAGAUCACGAGCCAUGCGAGGCCUCUUAAAAUUACACUGUGAAGUAAAACAUCCUGGUGUUUCAUCUGCCACAAAAUGUAACCUGAAAGGUUCUCCUGGGCAGGGAGUGGGGUUUGGAGCUGCUCCCUCCCGAGGGCUGGGCAGGCUCCUGGGACAGGGCUGAGCAAGGGGAGCCUCCUCCCCAAAGCCUGCAGGAGCUGUGCAUCUCACCUGAUUGCUGCAAGCCCUCUGUGAGCCCCUGCUCUGCAGCUGAGGGCACAGGGACGGAUAAACCCCGAGAAAUGCUCCCCUGUGUGUGUCACUGCCAGCCCCAGGCUCUCAGCCAGCCCUGUGGUGGCAGUGGCAGUGGCAGUGGCAGUGGCAGUGGCAGCCCAGGCACUGGCGGUGUCUUUGUGCGCCUCUUGCAAGGGUUGGCACGUCCCCAGCACCCCAGAGCCCUGCUCUGAACACUGCCCUGCCCAGCAGCCCCGCCAGGGACAGCUUCCCAAAACCCACUGACUGCUCCAGCCUGCACCAGCCGAGUCUGGAGCUGCUAACCUGGCAGAGCAGGGGGCUGUGACAUCUGCACAGGCUGUGACACCCUGCACAGGCUGUGACAUCUGCACAGGUUGUGACAUCUGCACAGGCUGUGACACCCUGCACAGGCUGUGACACCCUGCACAGGUUCAAUGACAUCUGCACAGGUUGUGACACCCUGCACAGGCUGUGACACCCUGCACAGGUUCAGUGACAUCUGCAGAGGUUCAGCACUGCAGAGCAUGGUUCAGUGACACCCUGCACAGAUUGUGACAUCCUUCACAGGUUCAGUGACAUCUGCACAGGCUGUGACACCCUGCACAGGCUGUGACACCCUGCACAGGUUCAAUGACAUCUGCACAGGUUGUGACACCCUGCACAGGCUGUGACACCCUGCACAGGUUCAAUGACAUCUGCACAGGUUGUGACACCCUGCACAGGCUGUGACACCCUGCACAGGUUCAAUGACAUCUGCACAGGUUGUGACACCCUGCACAGGCUGUGACACCCUGCACAGGUUCAAUGACAUCUGCACAGGUUGUGACACCCUGCACAGGCUGUGACACCCUGCACAGGUUCAAUGACAUCUGCACAGGUUGUGACACCCUGCACAGGCUGUGACACCCUGCACAGGUUCAAUGACAUCUGCACAGGUUGUGACACCCUGCACAGGCUGUGACACCCUGCACAGGUUGUGACAUCCUGCACAGGUGCAGUGACACCCUGCAGAGGUUCAGCACUGCAGAGCAGGGGUGUGUCUGGGGUUUCUGGCUCUGAGGGGCUGUGCCAAGCAGGGUGGGGAUGGAAGCGCGUGCAGGGCACGAGGCACUUGUGCAGCUGCCCAGAAUGCACAGGCAGGCCCCGCUCCAGGGUGGGGGAAGCAGCCGUGGACAAAAGCAG